GAUGAACGCUGGCGGCGUGCCUAAUACAUGCAAGUCGAGCGAACAGACGAGGAGCUUGCUCCUCUGACGUUAGCGGCGGACGGGUGAGUAACACGUGGAUAACCUACCUAUAAGACUGGGAUAACUUCGGGAAACCGGAGCUAAUACCGGAUAAUAUAUUGAACCGCAUGGUUCAAUAGAGAAAGACGGUUUUGCUGUCACUUAUCGAUGGAUCCGCGCCGCAUUAGCUAGUUGGUACGGUAAUGGCUUACGACGGCAACUAUGCGUUGCCGACGGCACUGGGGGGUCGCCCACAUUGGAACGUGAACACGCACAAUGCGCCUGCGGGAGGCAGCAGUAUGGAAUCUGCCGCAACGGGCGAAAGCCUGACGGAGCAACGCCGCGCGAGUUAUGAAGGUCUUCGGAUCGUAAAACUCUGUUAUUAGGGAAGAACAAAUGUGUAAGUAACUAUGCACGUCUUGACGGUACCUAAUCAGAAAGCCACGGCUAACUACGUG
rnacentral:rRNA from 1 species